GCCAGACUCCUACGGGAGGCAGCAGGGAGGAAUAUUGGUCAAUGGCCACAGGGCUGAACCAGCCAAGUCGCGUGAGGGAUGACGGUCCUAUGGAUUGUAAACCUCUUUUGUCAGGGAGCAAAGGGCGCCACGUGUUGCGUUUUGCGAGUACCUGAAGAAAAAGCAUCGGCUAACUCCGUGCCAGCAGCCGCGGUAAUACGGAGUAUGCGAGCGUUAUCCGGAUUUAUUGGGUUUAAAGGGUGCGCAGGCGGAAUGCCAAGUCAGCGGUAAAAUUUCGGGGCUCAACCCCGUCGUGCCGUUGAAACUGGCGUUCUUGAGUGAGCGAGAAGUAUGCGGAAUGCGUGGUGUAGCGGUGAAAUGCAUAGAUAUCACGCAGAACUCCGAUUGCGAAGGCAGCAUACCGGCGCUCAACUGACGCUCAUGCACGAAAGCGUGGGUAUCGAACAGGAUUAGAUACCCCAGUA
rnacentral:rRNA from 1 species